CUCCCCAAAAUUUUCCCAAAAUCCCCGGGAGUUGGGAGGGGGAGGAGUUGGGGUUCCCAUGGGUGCGGGAAGGACCCCAGGUGGGACCCCGGUGUGCCCAGGUGACCCCACUGACCCCCAGGUAACCCCAGGUGUGUCCAGGUGCCCCAGGUGUGCCCCCAGAUGCCCCCAGGUGUGCCCCCAUGCUCCCCCAGGUGCCCCCACGCUCCCCCAGGUGUGCCCAGGUACCCCAGGUGUGCCCCCAGGUGUGCCCAGGUGUCCCCCAUGCUCCCCCAGGUGUGCCCCCACGUGCCCCCGUUGUCCCGCAGGUCUGGCCAGCUGGGCCAUCGUCAUCCUCGCCGAUCCCGUGGGACGGUGGCAGCGCCGAGAGCCCUGAGGGGACCCCAAUAAAGCCCCGGGACCCCCAAAGUGCCCUGGGUGGGGCACGGGACAGGACGGA